rnacentral:rRNA from 1 species
CGGAGGAUGCGAGCGUUAUCCGGAUUAUUGGUUAAGGUGCGUAGGUUGUUCGGUAAGUCAGCGGUGAACCUGAGCGCUCAACGUUCAGCCUGCCGUUGAACUGCCGGGCUUGAGUUCAGUGGCGGCAGGCGGAAUUCGUGGUGUAGCGGUGAAAUGCAUAGAUAUCACGAGGAACUCCGAUUGCGAAGGCAGCUUGCCAUACUGCGACUGACACUGAAGCACGAAGGCGUGGGUAUCAAACAGGAUU